GAGGCCUACUGCUUACAUAUUCUUCCCGAUAAAAUGGCUCCUGCCAGACACAGGGCAGGAGGAGGAGGAAAGGAGAAUGAGCUGACCUUGUGAGUUUAUAAAGAGACAGCAGAAUUAUGGGAUUGAAUAACAAUCUUCUAGUCCCCAGAAGACUUUUUAACCCUCUAGUCUCAACCUGGGACAGGGGUGGUUGGGUUAGAGUUGGCAUCAGCUGCAGGGUGUGGGUGGUUGCUGAGCCUUGGGGGUUUCUUUGUGGCUUUGGUGUUGUUUAUGGUUAAUUUGGAGGCAAUGUUUUGUCUCUUGCAGAUCUGUGGUGGUGGAUCCUGUUCUAGAGGCUUGGGGAAGCUGAGCUCUCAGCGAGACUGUGAGGGAAGGAGACACAACCAUUGUUUUCAUUUCAUAGCCAAUUAUCUACUUUCUCUCACCAAAACAUUCUAGCCUGCUUCAAACUAGCACACCUCUGCACCUGAAGGUCCUGCCUAAGAAUCCCUGGAUAGAGCAUUCAGAAGAAGCCAGGAGGACAAGGUCAGAGACUGUCCUUUCCCCAGAAGCCAGGAAGAUUCUCCUUUCCUCUGAAGCUGGGAGGAUUCCAGCCUCACUGUCCACGGGCAAAGUUUCCCUGAAGAUUGGACAUUUAUAUGAGCUGUGAUGUAGCCCUGGAGGGUGAUUGAUAAUAAGAAUUUGUGACUAAAUGCUUUAAUGCCUCUGUAAUUUCGAUUGCCUCCUGCUACUGCAGAAAGAGCUUCAGCCCAUCUAGUGGGCAAGCAGCAUAUUGACCCCAAGCGGCAUUUGGCCGCAGGGAAAUUCCUCUCUCUGUUUAUAGUUUGAAUGUUUGCUGGUUAUUAAGAAGUUACUGUUUGAUGUUAUUCCUAGAAUAUCUUCCAUAACCGUGUAAUAUCCAAAAUAAUAUUAAAAUUCAGUGGCUGGGGGUGGCAGAGUUCAGAAUAUUGAAGGUAAUAAAUUGUAUAUUUUUAUAGACUA